rnacentral:rRNA from 1 species
GGAAGUAAAAGUCGUAACAAGGUUUCCGUAGGUGAACCUGCGGAAGGAUCAUUACAGAGUUCAUGCCCGAAAGGGUAGACCUCCCACCCUUGUGUAUUAAUACUUUGUUGCUUUGGCGAGCUGCCUUCGGGCCUAACUGUCUCGCCAGAGGAUAUCAAAACUCUUUUUAUUAAUGUCGUCUGAGUACUAUAUAAUAGUUAAAACUUUCAACAACGGAUCUCUUGGUUCUGGCAUCGAUGAAGAACGCAGCGAAAUGCGAUAAGUAAUGUGAAUUGCAGAAUUCAGUGAAUCAUCGAAUCUUUGAACGCACAUUGCGCCCCUUGGUAUUCCGGGGGGCAUGCCUGUUCGAGCGUCAUUUCAACCCUCAAGCUCUGCUUGGUAUUGAGUCAAUGUCAGUAAUGGCAGGCUUUAAAGUUAGUGGCGGCGCCGCUGGGUCCUGAACGUAGUAAUAUCUUUCGUUACAGGUUCUCGGUGUGCUUCUGCCAAAACCCAAAAUUUUAUAUUGUUGACCUCGGAUCAGGUAGGGAUACCCGCUGAACUUAAGCAUAUCAAUAAGCGGAGGA